rnacentral:lncRNA from 1 species
AAAUCUUCAGGGAAUGGGAUCUAAAAAUGCGCGCCGUCAGGAGCAGAACGCUACACGUCAGUAUUGCAAGUUGUAGUUGAAUGUCAAGAAUAUAAUAAACCAUAAAUAUAAGUUUCAGGAAGUCCCAAUGGCUGCAAGCAGGGAUCAUACAAUUUUUGUACAAAGUGACCUUUUUGAAAAAGGUUUUCCAGUCAUGGAAGAAAUAAGAAGAAAGGGAAAGCUGUGUGAUGUUACACUUAAGGUGGAUGGUCAGUCCUUCACUGCUCACAAGCUUGUUCUGUCUGCCAACAUACCAUACUUCAAUGCCAUGUUCCUGCAUGACAUGGUGGAAAGCAAGCUAUCAGAAAUAGAGAUGAAGGAGAUUGACACCAGUGCAUUGGAAUCGCUCAUCAACUUCGCCUACAGCGGUCGGAUUCUCAUAAACAACAGCAACGUGCAGAACCUGAUGAUGGGUGCAGCGUUCCUCCAGCUGACGGCCGUCCGGGAUGCCUGUGCUAAGCACCUCAUCAAGGAGUGAGUGGGGCAGGAUGG